UACGUAGGGGGCAAGCGUUGUCCGGAAUCAUUGGGCGUAAAGAGCGUGUAGGCGGCUCGGUAAGUCUGCUGUGAAAGUCCAGGGCUCAACCCUGGAAUGCCGGUGGAAACUGUCGGGCUCGAGUCCGGAAGAGGCGAGUGGAAUUCCUGGUGUAGCGGUGAAAUGCGCAGAUAUCAGGAGGAACACCAAUGGCGAAGGCAGCUCGCUGGGACGGUACUGACGCUCAUGCACGAAAGCGUGGGGAGCAAACAGG
rnacentral:rRNA from 1 species